rnacentral:rRNA from 1 species
GACGAACGCUGGCGGCGUGCUUAACACAUGCAAGUCGAACGGAAAGGCCCUGCUUUUGUGGGGUGCUCGAGUGGCGAACGGGUGAGUAACACGUGAGUAACCUGCCCUUGACUUUGGGAUAACUUCAGGAAACUGGGGCUAAUACCGGAUAGGAGCUCCUGCUGCAUGGUGGGGGUUGGAAAGUUUCGGCGGUUGGGGAUAGACUCGCGGCUUAUCAGCUUGUUGGUGGGGUAGUGGCUUACCAAGGCUUUGACGGGUAGCCGGCCUGAGAGGGUGACCGGCCACAUUGGGACUGAGAUACGGCCCAGACUCCUACGGGAGGCAGCAGUGGGGAAUAUUGCACAAUGGGCGGAAGCCUGAUGCAGCAACGCCGCGUGCGGGAUGACGGCCUUCGGGUUGUAAACCGCUUUCGCCUGUGACGAAGCGUGAGUGACGGUAAUGGGUAAAGAAGCACCGGCUAACUACGUG